rnacentral:tRNA from 1 species
GCGGGCGCUGGGCGAGGCGGGUGCGGCCGUACGGCUGGUGGUCGUGUCCGGCCAUCAGGCCACGCACCGGCUCGACGGCGGUUGCCCGAGC